UAGCUAAGUGGUAGAGCACUUGCCUAGCAUGCAGAGGAUCUGGGUUCAAUACCCAG
rnacentral:tRNA from 1 species